rnacentral:lncRNA from 10 species
AAGUAUAAUAAAAAAAAAAAAAAGUAAAAAAAAAAAAAAAAAUUCAAAGGACUGUCAACACAAAGUAAGUACUCGAUGAUGUGGAGCAUCUGGAACAUUUUAUGUUGUGGUGGGGGAGUUUAAGUCAGUACAACCACUUUGGAAAACUGGCAGUUUUUAUCUAAAAUUAUAUGCACAUGACUCAGCAAAUUCUACUCCUGAAAAAUUCUACUCCCAGAACAAAUGAGCAUUUAUAUACACCAGAAGUUGUAUAUAAGAAUUUUCACCAACCUGGGCAACACGGUGAAACCCUGUCUCUACUAAAAAGUACAAAAAGUAGCCGAGUGUGGUGGCGAGCACCUGUAGUCCCGGUUACUCAGGAGGCUGAAGUGAGAUAAUUGCUUGAACCUGGGAGGCAGACGUUGUGAUGAGCCGAGAUCACGCCACUACACUCUAGCCUGGUCGAUAGAGUGAGACCCUGUCUCAGAAAAAGAAAAAAGAAGAAUUUUCAUAGUCGUUUUAUCAUAAUAGCACAAACUGAAAAUAGCCCAAAUACCCAUCGAUAGGAGAAUAAAUAAAUAAGUCGUAAUAUACUGUGUAAUGCUAAACAGCAACUAACGAGCACUGCUGC